AACGAACGCUGGCGGCAUGCCUAACACAUGCAAGUCGAACGCUAUCUUUGAUAGAGUGGCGCACGGGUGAGUAACGCGUGGGAACCUGCCUUUCACUGCGGGACAACGGUUGGAAACGACCGCUAAUACCGCAUACGCCCUACGGGGGAAAGAUUUAUCGGUGAUAGAGGGGCCCGCGUCUGAUUAGCUUGUUGGUAGGGUAAUGGCCUACCAAGGCGACGAUCGGUAGCUGGUCUGAGAGGAUGAUCAGCCACACUGGGACUGAGACACGGCCCAGACUCCUACGGGAGGCAGCAGUGGGGAAUAUUGGACAAUGGGGGCAACCCUGAUCCAGCAAUGCCGCGUGUGUGAUGAAGGCCUUAGGGUUGUAAAGCACUUUCACUGGUGAAGAUGAUGACGGUAACCUGAGAAGAAGCCCCGGCUAACUUCGUGCCGGCU
rnacentral:rRNA from 1 species